ensembl:lncRNA
AAGAGUCAGUUUGCAAACGCCCUUUGACUCAGUAAGCCUUGGGCCCAACACAGGAUGGCUGACUCUGGGUCUCGUGCUACGAACCAUGACUCCCCGGUGAGUGAUGGUCAGGCUUGGGCUGGAAAAGGCAGAGUUGGCGGAUUAUCCAAAGGACUGUGGACUUGGCCGUGGGAGGCUUAAGCAGGAUGGAUCGCUGUGGGCGAGUUCUUUGGAGUCUUUAUCUUUCUGUGUGGCUGGCUCAGAUGACAGCAAGGAGCCCGGGAUGAAUCAAUAUGUCCUUGGUCAGCUGCUUUGGUGGCUCCACUGCUGUGCUGGUUCUACAAAUAAUUGGAGUCCAGUCACCAGUGAAUCAGCACGGACAGCCCUUGGCAAGCCGGACCAGGAAGGCUGCUUGGCGUGGCAUGGCUGUAUUGAAGGCGGCUCUGUGCUGGGCAGGGUCAGGUGACAGAAAGCCUGGGCCAGCUGGGUAACUACUCUCACGGGGAUUUGAGCAAGCGACAUUUAUCAUGCCUACCUUAGUUUCUCCUGUGUCUGGUUCUCUCUUUUGAUGAUUCCCUUCCCACUCCAGGCCUCCAUUUAUUUCCUUCAAUAUAGCCAGACGUUAUUCUAACCCUGGGGUGGGGGUUGGGGAGAGUAAACGGGAUCCCCGGCUCUCAUUUUUGGUGCAUGUGGAUGUUUGGUAUCAUGGGGAUACAGUCAGGAGCAAGCGUUGAUUCAGAGGUGAGGAGGAUGAGGUUUGGAGACAGGAGCUAGUUUCAGACACAGAGCGUUAUCAUCAGACGGGCAGUAGGGGUCUGAGGGAGGCGGGCAGAGGGUCGAGGCCUAAAACCAGGCUAAGAACUUGGCUUUUUAUCCGGAGAAAGGCAGAAAUAUGAGGGACUUUUGUUUAUAAUAUUCUUAUAGUUAAUAUUGUUAAAUGGCAUGAACUAAUUCAGGUUUGGGGGUGGAGUGCUUGCUUAGCAUAUGGAGUCAUGAUUUCUACCCGCAGCACCCAAUAAACAGGACCUGGUGGUACAUGGCUAUCAUCCAAGCACUGGGCGGGGGGUGGGUAGAGACAGGAAGAUCAGAAGUUCAAGGCCAUCUUGGCUACAUAGCAAGUUUGAGGGUAGCUCAUGCUGUAGGAGGAUCCUGACUCAAACAACAGCAAAUCUAACUCACUCUAAUAUAAAAAUCAAACGAGGGCCAGGAGGGUUUCUUCUAAUAACUCUGUGUGUGUGUGUGUGUGUGUGUGUGUAGAGUAUGUGUGUUGUGUGUGUGGUGUCUGUGUGUCUGUGUCUUUGUGUGUGUGUGUGAGAGUGUGUGUAUGUGUGUGUAGAGUAUGUGUGUUGUGUGUUGUAUGUGUGUGUUGUGUGUGUAUGUGUGUAUAUGUGUGUGUAGAGUAUGUGUGUUGUGUGUGUGGUGUCUGUGUCUUUGUGUGUUUGAGUGUGUGUGUGUAGAGUAUAUGUGUUGUGUGUUGUAUGUGUGUGGUGUGUGUGUAUGUGUGUGAGUGUGUAUGUGUGUGGGUGUGUGUGUAUAGAGUAUGUGUGUUGUGUGUAUGUGUGUGGUGUGUGUAUGUCUGUGUGUGUAGUGUGUGUAUGUGUGUGGGUGUAGAGUAUGUGUGUUGUGUGUGUGUGUAUGUGUGUGUAGAGUAUGUUGUGUGUAUGUGUGUGUAGAGUAUGUGUGUUGUGUGUGUGUGUGUGUGUGUGUAGAGUAUGUGUGUUGUGUGUAUGUGUGUGGUGUGUGUGUCUGUUGUGUGUAUGUGUGUGUGUGUAGAGUAUGUGUGUUGUGUGUAUGUGUGUGGUGUGUGUGUCUGUGUGUGUAGUGUGUGUAUGUGUGUGGGUGUAGAGUAUGUGUGUUGUGUGUUGUGUAUGUGGUGUGUGUAUGGUACUGGAGCGAGGUAAUGCUUCAUCACUGCGCCGCACCCCUGCCCAGAAGAGCCGGGAAGGAUCACUCAGAGUAAGCAGCUUUCAAAGCCUCUCCUCAAAUGGAAGCUUUUGCUCACAAGCCUUUUGGGUGUGUCCCUCCAGGACUCUUUCUAUGCUCGCACAAACAGCUCUUAUUUUCCUUCACACAAGCAAACCUAUCCGUGAACAUACUGCUGUAUGAGAACCCUGGCCCUUCCACUCCCGCACAUACCAGCCUCCUGCUCUCAGGUCUCUCAGGAGCCCAUUAAUGCCACCUGCCUUCACAGGACAUCCUGAGUGCCCAGGAUGGAGCAGGGGACAAAACACGGGCCUUGUUCUGGAGGUCUUCCCCUUCCUCCCGGUAUCUGACCAUUAUACACAGCGUGCAGGGCUGUCUUUUUUUUUUUUUUGUAGGCAAGGUCUCACUCUGUAGCAGGCUUAGAAAUCAUUCUGGAAGCCCGGCUGGUUUGUGUAUGUACCUUUCCAUACACAGUGACAGAAUACAGUGGGGUCAUUUGUGAAGAGGAAUUUUGAGAGCUGGGUGUUGUGACACAUGCUUAUAAUCCCAGCACUUGGGGCUGGG